GCCUUGCAAAUCAUGAGGGAAUCCCAGGGAAAGAAAACACUCCUCGGACUGAUAGUGAGGUGAUUGUCUCUACAUACAGAUGAGAUACAUGAGACACUGAGAAAUGGAUACCACUGAGGUCAUGGCCAGGAGGUGGCAGUGCAAAGAUUCCUACCCAAGCUUCCUCAUCUGUGAACAGAACAGGAAGGCCUCGGUAAAUAGGUACAUGUUGACAAGCAACAACCUACUCAAAACUCAUCUUUUUGUAUUAAUGCAUCAUGUGACUCCCUCGUUUGGACUUCUGCAGGAACAUGUCAGAGACGGGGUCUUGCUAUGUUGCCCAGAAUGGAAUGCAGUGUCUCUUCACCGGCACCAUCCUGGCAUGCUAUAGCCUCAAACUCCUGGGCUCAAGCAUCAUCCUGCCUCAGCCUCCCAAUUAGCUGGGACUACAGCUGAGUUUUCAGUGUGGACUUUGCUUCUGAAUUGUGUCCAAGGCUCUGAGUCGGUUUUAAGACCUUACAUCUGCAUGGUGCUUUGCCGUUUAAGAAGGAAUUCCACAUUAAUCUUCAGCUCUGAUUAUUCAAGUUCAUCCCGGUUCCUGUUACAGUCACUGCUUGAAUAAAUGAAUGAACCAAAA
rnacentral:lncRNA from 10 species